CGGGCCAGUGUCCAUGGCCUGUCCCCAGGUUCGCAUGCGUCGCUGGUAACGGCGGGGUGUGAAGCCGAACUGGUUAAGCCCAAGAGCGG
rfam:Streptomyces sp. DI166 genome assembly, contig: Ga0115233_1022